AAAAAUCGUGGGAAUGUUCAGAAGACCCACGUGGUUGGCGUGCACACUUGUGCCUGGGCGGGGCUCCCGUGAAGAUCACCAUACCUGGAAUUGUGUAUAGUGCACCAGUUUGUUCUGACACAGCGGAAGCCCUUCAUCCUUUUGCUCACCCGAUGGUUCUAUAAAAGCGAUUUCUCACUCUCGGGCUUUGCAGGAGCCAGGUGUGCAUUCCAUAAUGCGCCUAUUAUGCAGCCAUUCUCAGUAGCCAUUGCUCAUACAAUGACCCUUCUGAUUUGCCCCUUUACAGCGUGGUUGCCAACGACUUCGGUCCCCACCCAGUACAACUUCAGCACGGGUGCCCUAAAAAAGGAAACCUGUUUCCCUCCUCCCAAGUUUCUGGUUUCUCCACCCAGUCUCCCCACAGCCCUCUGCUCCCGCACCCAGGCCUUCCGGCCUCCGCCCAGCCUCGGAGCGGCGCCCGACAUUCCAGCUUCCACUUUGAUCCUUACAAAUGAAAAGGCACGGCUGGCCGUGGAGUGUUCGGCCGUGAACGAAGCUGCGGGACAGAGGCAGCGCCAUCUCAGUCCGUCUGUCCGUCAGUCCAGGAGGAGCAGGCCGCGCGGGUGCUCCGGGAGCUGCGGCGCCACGCUGCCCGCAGGCUGCACGGGGAGCCCACUGGCAGGCCUGGGCUGUCACUUCCCGCCUCUGCCCUCCCCAGCUUGCCCUUGA
rnacentral:lncRNA from 1 species